rnacentral:lncRNA from 10 species
UCUUUAGGCUCUCAGAAGGUAUUAUGGCCACAUUCAAACCCUUCAGCACCAGCCCACCUGCUCAUCCAUUCCCCUAGUAUAUCCAAUCGAAUGAACCAUAACAUCAGAGGUAACUAAAUUUCAAAAUAGUACUGACACAAAUAAAUAUCUAGUUGGUGUCCCUCCAGCCAGUGCGGCCACAUGGGAGACACUCUGGGGCAUAUAAGCAUUUCCUGUGAGUCAUAAAAUCCCAUCUGCCAACCACCAUCAGCCUUAGCUACACUGGAAGUCACUCACUGCACACCCCCCACCUGGAAAAUUCUCCUCUACUAACUUAUACUUUAGAGUCCUCUGAUUCAA